GUGUCAGCAGCCGCGGUAAGACGAACCGUGCGAACGUUGUUCGGAAUCACUGGGCUUAAAGGGCGCGUAGGCGGGUCAGCAAGUCCGGGGUGAAAUCUUUCGGCUUAACCGGAAAAGUGCCUUGGAUACUGCUGGUCUUGAGGGAGGUAGGGGUCUGCGGAACUUCUGGUGGAGCGGUGAAAUGCGUUGAUAUCAGAAGGAACGCCGGUGGCGAAAGCGGCGGACUGGACCUCUUCUGACGCUGAGGCGCGAAAGCUAGGGGAGCAAACGGGAUUAGAUACCCCUGUAGUCC
rnacentral:rRNA from 1 species